UAUUAAGUGGCUGAAACCAAAUAAGCACUAGACUUUUAAUCUAGCUAUGAUUAUAUAAUCCUUAAUUG
rnacentral:tRNA from 2 species